CUACUUGUUCUAGUGGGGUCUUCAUAUAGAGUUUUCCUCACUGCCUUAAUUCCCAAAUCAUGUUUUAUUACAGUAUAAAGGGAUGUGAUGUCACAUGUCACCAUAAUGAAGUCUUCUUCCCGUCUAAGGCCUUCUAUAUUUUUCAGCAAGUCCCCACUGUCUCUCAAAUAGGACUUAGCUUUCUUCACGAGGGGCUGUAGGAUCUCAUCAAUGUAUUGUGAUAAAUUACAUGUUAGGGACCCUAUCCCUGAAAUUAUGGGUCUGCCUGGGGGAUUCUUCAGGUUUUUUGUGAAUUUUUGGUAAUUGGUAGAACACAGGUUUUAUUGAAUGGAUAACCAUAACAAACUCCAAUUCUUUUUUACUUAGUAUGUUUAAGAAUUUUCCUUUUUCUAAAAUAUUAAAUAAGGUCUUUUUCAUGUCUAAAGUAGGAUCUUUCUGUAAUUGUUUAUAGGUUAAUGAGUCGUUAAGUAUCCUCCUACAUUCUAUAUCGUAAUCCUUGGUGUUGAGAAUAACAACCCCCCUCCCUUAUCCGCUGGUUUCACUGUUAUAUCUCUAUUUUCACAUAGCUUUUGUAAUGCUCUUUUUUCCAAAAUGUUUAAAUUCUGUUUAUGUUUCGAAAUUCUUUUAGGUAAUUUCUCUAUAUCUGCGGUAACUGCCAAAUGAAAAGCUGACAUUGGACAACUCAUUUGGUUUGUUGGACAAAACUUGGAUUUAUUUUUUAAGGUGG